rnacentral:rRNA from 1 species
AGCGAACGCUGGCGGCAGGCUUAACACAUGCAAGUCGAACGGUCCUUCGGGAUAGUGGCGGACGGGUGAGUAACACGUGGGAACGUACCCUUAGGUUCGGAACAACACAGGGAAACUUGUGCUAAUACCGGAUAAGCCCUUCGGGGGAAAGAUUUAUCGCCUUUGGAGCGGCCCGCGUCUGAUUAGCUUGUUGGUGAGGUAAUGGCUCACCAAGGCUACGAUCAGUAGCUGGUCUGAGAGGAUGGCCAGCCACACUGGGACUGAGACACGGCCCAGACUCCUACGGGAGGCAGCAGUGGGGAAUCUUGCGCAAUGGGCGAAAGCCUGACGCAGCCAUGCCGCGUGGAUGAUGAAGGUCUUAGGAUUGUAAAAUCCUUUCACCGGGGACGAUAAUGACGGUACCCGGAGAAGAAGCCCCGGCUAACUUCGUGCCAGCCGCCGCCGUAA